ensembl:lncRNA
CCCCCACCCCCCGCAUUGUCAGGUGGAGUCUUUACUGCUGAGCCACCAGGGAAGCCCCAGCACGGGGCAGUAUCCAGUGGAUGUUUAGCAAAUGAAUGGAUGAGCUUACGUCACGCUUUGUAGUCCAUAGAACACGUUCACAAACAUCUUCUCCACAGAGUCUCAUGACACUUUUUUGAUCUCAGCAGACAGUGAAACAGCCUGGAGAGGCUGAGUGACCUGCCAUAUUCACAGGUAAUUAGUAGGUUUAGGAUUUCCUUCAAGAUCUUCUGACUCCUAGACAGAUCUUCUUUCCAGGGCACAGUGCCCAGGGUUUGAUCAGAGCCUGCGUUCAGUCCCCAGACUAGUCUGUGACCUCGGCAAUGUUUUAUGGCCAAGCAGAGCAUUACCGAGCGUUGGACUGCUAAGCCUUGCCAACGUUCCUCAAGAACAUACCAUGUUUACAAAGAGAAGAGUUUAAGUCCUAUGCUCAAGGGCAGAUACAGUGAUUCCAAGCAUUUUUCAUAGUUUUUCAAAAUAUACACUAGCAAGGAUGGCAACAUGAUAUACUGGAAAAGGCGUGAGCUUUGAGUCAACAAGAUCAAGGUUCCUGCCUCGAUAAAUCCACGUUUAGAAGCGAACCUUUGAAUACAAACAGUUCCAAACUAUCUUUCUUUCAGUAACUGAUAACAUCUUGUUUACUAAGCCGUUUGUUGGAAUAAGCAAUAACCUUAUUGAUUCUGAGAGAGGUACCUUUUAAACUAUUGGGACAGCUUACAUCUAUGACCUUCAAUUUCUGUAACUACUAAGUGGGGUUAAUAAAGCCACAAUAUACAGUUGUGAUUGAAUGUGUUCAAGUACAUGUACCUAAUGUAUAGAAGAUGCUUGAUGAACAUCAGUUCUCCUCAGUUUUAUCACCUUUCUAGUUCCCAGCGCAACAUUGGACCCACUCUGAUGCACGUUUGUCGCUGUGUAUUUUUAGAUUUUCUCUGAGGGCAGAGUUGUACGCUUCAGCACAGAGAGGAAACUCACAGGUUCAUCUUAGCAACUUCUAAGCCUUUCCGUGACUCCGCACAUGGUUCCUGCUGCCUGUGCGCUGGCCUACUAUCUCGCCACGGGAAAGCAGCAGCAGCAGGGGCGUCUGAGCCACAAUGCUGAAGAAAAGUGAGGCAGCCAGCCCCAGUUAAUUUCAGAUCUGCUGCUGCUGCUGCCAAGUCGCUUCAGUCGUGUCCAACCCUGUGCGACCCCACAGAUGGCAGCCCAUCAGGCUCCCCCGCCCCUGGGAUUCUCCAGGCAAGAACACUGGAGUGGGUUGCCAUUUCCUUCUCCAAUGCAUGAAAGUGAAAAAUGAAAGGGAAUUCACUCAUUCGUGCCGACUCUUCGCGACCCCAGGGACUGUAGCCCACCAGGCUCCUUCACCCAUGGGAUUUUCCAGACAGGAGUACUAGAGUGGAGUGCCAUUGCUUUCUCUGAAUUUCAGAUCUAUCUGUCUCCAAAUAAAGAUAUAUAUUCUCCAGAUGAAGCUAUAUCUGUUAUUAUGGAAACUCGGAGAGAAUCAUGGGUAACAUCGUCAUCAGUGAGAAGUGGUUUAUGGCUUCCAGGAAAGAAGCAAAAAAUCAUAUGGAAAGAAUACUUCAAUCUUUAGAUAAAGAUGCCCAGGCUGUGGAACAGGUGGUGGCAGGAAUAACGCUGAAGUGUUCUGCUUAGCAGGACUCACUGUCCUCACCAGUGAGAUGCAGAUGGCUCCCAACAAGAUGAUGGAUCAUUUAAGAAGAUUCUCUGAUCAAGAAGAAAUUUGAAAGAGAAAAUUGAAAAUCUAGGUGGCUCAAAGAUUCGUGUUGUUUCCAGAGUUAUAAUGGGAUAACCCAGAAUCUGCUACAUUCUAACUGAUUGAUGUAGGGCAGUUGAAAAAGAUCUGUGGGCACUUCCAACUUUUACUUUCUAUAGGGGUAAAGCAGACUGAUAAAUUAAUCACUAGUUAUUUAGCAUAGUCUUGAUCUAAAGGAAAUAGGUUACUAGUAUGGCCUUUCUCUAUAAUUAGAGUAAGUAAUUAAUUGUCUCGUAGAUUUUACUCUCUAUCAGAGUAACUGGUACCCAGUUAAAUGCAUGGCUUCCAUUAAAUUCUUGCAAAAGCUUGGUAUGAUAGACUUCAGGAUGAAAUAAUAAUCAGUUCAGUUCAGUUGCUCAGUCAUAUCUGACUCUUCCCGAC